AGACCCGAAACCCGGUGAUCUAGCCAUGGGCAGGUUGAAGGUUGGGUAACACUAACUGGAGGACCGAACCGACUAAUGUUGAAAAAUUAGCGGAUGACCUGUGGCUGGGGGUGAAAGGCCAAUCAAACCGGGAGAUAGCUGGUUCUCCCCGAAAGCUAUUUAGGUAGCGCCUCGUGAAUUCAUCUCCGGGGGUAGAGCACUGUUUCGGCUAGGGGGCCAUCCCGGCUUACCAACCCGAUGCAAACUGCGAAUACCGGAGAAUGUUAUCACGGGAGACACACGGCGGGUGCUAACGUCCGUCGUGAAGAGGGAAACAACCCAGACCGCCAGCUAAGGUCCCAAAGUCAUGGUUAAGUGGGAAACGAUGUGGGAAGGCCCAGACAGCCAGGAUGUUGGCUUAGAAGCAGCCAUCAUUUAAAGAAAGCGUAAUAGCUCACUGGUCGAGUCGGCCUGCGCGGAAGAUGUAACGGGGCUAAACCAUGCACCGAAGCUGCGGCAGCGACGCUUAUGCGUUGUUGGGUAGGGGAGCGUUCUGUAAGCCUGCGAAGGUGGCCUGUGAGGGUUGCUGGAGGUAUCAGAAGUGCGAAUGCUGACAUAAGUAACGAUAAAGCGGGUGAAAAGCCCGCUCGCCGGAAGACCAAGGGUUCCUGUCCAACGUUAAUCGGGGCAGGGUGAGUCGACCCCUAAGGCGAGGCCGAAAGGCGUAGUCGAUGGGAAACGGGUUAAUAUUCCCGUACUUGGUGUUACUGCGAAGGGGGGACGGAGAAGGCUAUGUUGGCCGGGCGACGGUUGUCCCGGUUUAAGCGUGUAGGUGUGUGUUCCAGGUAAAUCCGGUUCACUUUAACACUGAGGCGUGAUGACGAGGCACUACGGUGCUGAAG
rnacentral:rRNA from 1 species